GAUGAACGCUGGCGGCGUGCCUAAUACAUGCAAGUCGAGCGAGCGGACGAGAAGCUUGCUUCUCUGAUGUUAGCGGCGGACGGGUGAGUAACACGUGGAUAACCUACCUAUAAGACUGGGAUAACUUCGGGAAACCGGAGCUAAUACCGGAUAAUAUUUUGAACCGCAUGGUUCAAAAGUGAAAGACGGUCUUGCUGUCACUUAUAGAUGGAUCUGCGCUGCAUUAGCUAGUUGGUAAGGUAACGGCUUACCAAGGCAACGAUGCAUAGCCGACCUGAGAGAGUGAUCGGCCACACUGGAACUGAGACACGGUCCAGACUCCUACGGGAGGCAGCAGUAGGGAAUCUUCCGCAAUGGGCGAAAGCCUGACGGAGCAACGCCGCGUGAGUGAUGAAGGUCUUCGGAUCGUAAAACUCUGUUAUUAGGGAAGAACAUAUGUGUAAGUAACUGUGCACAUCUUGACGGUACCUAAUCAGAAAGCCACGGCUAACUACGUG
rnacentral:rRNA from 1 species